rnacentral:rRNA from 1 species
UAACGCGUAGAUAAUCUACCUUAAAGACUGGGACAACAGUUGGAAACGACUGCUAAUACCGGAUAAGCUAAACGGAAGGCAUCUUCUGUUUAGGAAAGGAGGCCUCUUAACAAUGCUCCCGCUUUUAGAUGAGUCUGCGUCUGAUUAGCUAGUUGGUGGGGUAACGGCUUACCAAGGCGACGAUCAGUAGUCGGACUGAGAGGUUGAACGGCCACAUUGGGACUGAGACACGGCCCAGACUCCUACGGAAGGCAGCAG